rnacentral:rRNA from 1 species
GGCGGACGACUGCCUAUAACAUGCAAGUCGGAGCGAACAGGACACGGAGCUUGCUCUCUCUCUGUUAGCGGCGAAUGGUGAGUAACACGUGGGCACCUGCCUGUAGUGGGAUAACUCCGGGAAAUCGGGCUAAUACGAAUAAUCAAUCUUCGCAAUGAAAGAGUUUGAAAGACGGCUUCGGCUGUCGCUAUAGGAUGGGCCCGCGGCGCAUUAGCUAGUUGGUAAGGUAACGGCUUACCAAGGCGACGAUGCGUAAGCCGACCUGAGAGGGUGAUCGGCCACACUGGGACUGAGACAGGCCCAGACUCCUACGGGAGGCAGCAGUAGGGAAUCAUCCACAAUGGACGAAAGUCUGAUGGUGCAAUGCCGCGUGAGUGAAGAAGGUUUUCGGAUCGUAAAGCUCUGUUGUGAGGGAAGAACAAGUACAAGAGUAACUGCUUGUACCUUGACGGUACCUCAUUAGAAAGCCACGGCUAACUACGUG